UACGGAGGGUGCAAGCGUUGUCCGGAAUCACUGGGCGUAAAGGGCGCGUAGGCGGCUCAUGAAGGCUGUGGUGAAAGUCCGGGGCUCAACCUCGGAUCGGCCGUGGCGACUCGUGGGCUGGAGCACUGUAGAGGAGGGUGGAAUUCCUGGUGUAGCGGUGAAAUGCGUAGAUAUCAGGAGGAACACCGGCGGCGAAGGCGGCCCUCUGGAUCGUUGCUGACGCUGAGACGCGAAAGCGUGGGGAGCAAACAGG
rnacentral:rRNA from 1 species